GAUGAGCGCUGGCGGCGUGCCUAAUACAUGCAAGUCGAGCGAACAGACGAGGAGCUUGCUCCUCUGACGUUAGCAGCGGACGGGUGAGUAACACGUGGAUAACCUACCUAUAAGACUGGGAUAACUUCGGGAAACCGGAGCUAAUACCGGAUAAUAUAUUGAACCGCAUGGUUCAAUAGUGAAAGACGGUUUUGCUGUCACUUAUAGAUGGAUCCGCGCCGCAUUAGCUAGUUGGUAAGGUAACGGCUUACCAAGGCGACGAUGCGUAGCCGACCUGAGAGGGUGAUCGGCCACACUGGAACUGAGACACGGUCCAGACUCCUACGGGAGGCAGCAGUAGGGAAUCUUCCGCAAUGGGCGAAAGCCUGACGGAGCAACGCCGCGUGAGUGAUGAAGGUCUUCGGAUCGUAAAACUCUGUUAUUAGGGAAGAACAAAUGUGUAAGUAACUAUGCACGUCUUGACGGUACCUAAUCAGAAAGCCACGGCUAACUACGC
rnacentral:rRNA from 1 species